rnacentral:lncRNA from 1 species
AAGUUCAACGCAAACAUACAAACACAGUCGGGGCACUUAGCGAACUCCAUAAUAUUAUGGAAUUCCGUAAUUUUUGUGGAAAAUUAAAGUUGUCUCCCUUUGACUAACAGGCUAAAUUUAAGAUGGGAGAUAACUAUAUUUUGAAACUGAUUCUCUAAAAAAAAAACAAGGGAGACAAAUGAAAUCUAUUUAUUGUUUUCUUAACUACAAUGGAAAAAAAUAUAUAAUAACAUGAAGGGAUGUUACCUCGGUGAAGAGUACUCGCUCGGUAAAACAUUUACAAAAUGGAAACACAAAAUUAUAUCCAUUUUAUGUAUUGUGGGUCGUUGUCUUUUCAUUGUUUUAUAUAUAUGUAAACUGUAUAUUAUGUAUAAUGUUUUAAGCCAUUGGCUCAUACUGAGGGCUCAUAUGGGCGUAAAGUGCUUUUCAAUAAAGAAUUUAAGGACUUAUAAACGUAAAACCCUCAACAUUAUAACAAUGGACUAGAUAAUAUGAAUUAUAUACCAUAUAAAUCAUAAUUAAAAGCUUAUUUAAUACAUGAC